UUGAAAGGGAAACGAUUAAAGUCAGUCGUACCGACAGGAAUUCAACUUCUCGAGUGCUAAUCGUGGGGUGACGUUGAGCCUCACGGCCUUCGUUGCUUGUGUUGUUGGUGCUUUAGGGGGUGUACUUUUCCGUAUUGGUAGGUCAGCAACGAUUUCGAUCGUCAUAAAAUGAUCGGGGGAAUGUAGCUUCGGUCUCGUAUCGGAGUGUUAUAGACCUUGGUAGAUGUGACGAUUGGGAUCGAGGAUUGCAACGAAUACCUUCUGGGCUAUCCGUCUGACCUCUGAAAGUCGCUCGGGUGUCGAAAGCGUGCUUAUGGCUAUUCGAGUUGGCGGUCAAUAGGUUAGAACGUGAUUACAUUCGUUAAGGAUGUUGACGUA
rnacentral:rRNA from 1 species